rnacentral:lncRNA from 1 species
GGUGCUGAUAAAUGAGCUUCUGUUACCUGUGGAACCUAGCUGUCCUCCCUCUGGUACCAGUGUCAGUGUAAAGGAUGAUAUAUAGUGAGCAGGUGGUUUUACAAAGUGACAGAUAUUUGCUUUGUGUCAGGGUCAUAACCAGAACCCCAACUAAGACAUAAAUAAGAUGACACUAAAUAUUGAUAAGAGGAUAAUUUGAUGGAUUUGAUAACGCUUUAAAAAGUUCAAUGACAUGGAUUCAUCACACUUUCCUUGCAAAAACAUCAAACUAGGAGUUCACAUGCAGGCGUUUUUUGGAAAUACACCAAAGCCUUUUUGAUUUCAUACCUACUGUGAUCAAAAUGGCAAUUUAAAGGCACUGAAGUAACUGUUAAUGACUUUUAAAAUGAAGCUUGUAGGCUACAGUACAGUAAUCAAAAGAAAAGAGCUCAAAGAACUAAUGAGAAGUACGCUAGGAUUUCCCUGGCAAUACCUCCACACAAAUGCCCAUAAACAUGACAAAAGCAUGGUAGUAAUUAGAACUUGGCAAUCAGUGAAAUUACAUGGAAGUGUGUUUUAGCGCUCUGAAUUGUUAGGUUCUUUCCCACAGAUUUUAUUGAUCUUCUGUGGGAACCUGAGUAAAUUGUGCAAAGAUGGCUUGAAGGAGAAGUAGAGUUAAGUUAAUUUGUAACACAUGUAUUUAAAAAAAACGAAAUCAGACCUCUGGAACUGAUACAAGAUCGAUGGAACUGAUUCAUAAUCAAUGAUCCUGGUCGCAUUAAAUGUUUCAUAGUUUCCAGCCGGUGGCACAGGAAAACUGUUAUAUGUACAUGAUGUUGGUAGAGACAGAGCUUUGGCUAACAAUGAGAGUUCACUCAAGCAGAACAGCAAAUAUUGAUUGGUAUUUAUCCCUUUCAAGUUUCCUCUAGAUGGGCAAAUAAAUUAUUAAACCACAAAUUUAUUUGCCGUGACUCAAGACAGUUUCACUUCCCGGUCUUUCUUGAACUUGCAUGCAAAGUGAACUCACUGUGAGGUAUAUUAACUUAUUGGUGUGUUUGCCAUCGGAUAGAUUGUUUUCACUUAAGACAAAAAUCUGACCAUGAGUUUUUAACUGGAUUUAACCAUUUUUAUAUGCACUGACUUGUCCCAAUAAAGCUGUUCUCUCUUCUUGUUCAUGUUGUUAAAGAACUCAGCUGUUGCUGCUUCAUUGUUCAUAAUGUCUCACAAAUAAAGACAGAAACAAAAACACAGCUGUUGCUUCACACUCCCCCACUCCCACUUCUUACCCCUGGAAAUUUUAUUCUCCUCUUCUCUUGUGUCUGUCACUUGUUGGCCAUUGAGACAUUCAACAAUCCAGGUUUACAGUGAAAAGUUGUCAGUUUUGGUUUUAGGCUACCCCAAUGUGUCUGUCCAUUCCAGUAACAGCAAAAGCAGAAACUUGUAAUGUCAUAUGGAGCCUACAGCGGCUAAAUUGAAGGCGGUACAUCUUCCAAUCAGGUGAUAAUAAUUCUGAUAGUUGGUAGUUCUAUAUACCUUUUGUUACUCUAAACGACAGUGCACCCAUUUCUAUGAGUUAUUACGUCUAUUUAAAUUGUAUUUUUUAAGUAAAAGUUUCUAAUAACACAUUGCUAAAGUAUAUUGUUAGAGUAUCGGGACUCUUAAAAAGAUGAGACUUGUUAUAUCCCCUUCAAAACAGCAUUAUAGUUGAAUGAAUUAACAACUUUAUCCUUGUGAUAUAAUGACUUAAAUCUUGAAAGAUCAUGACUUUACUCUCAAAACAAACUGACUUAAAACUCAUUGCAUAACUUUACCAUGUAUGGAUGUAAAGUAAAUGUUUCAGGUAAUUCUUUGAACUUAGACCUUACUUCGAUUUGAGCCAUGGUCUUUGUUUUUGAGAGAGUAGAAACUUUCAGUAAGGUUUUUAAAAAAAGUUGCCAUAUUGCAGACAUUUUGGUAGCUCUGGUUUACGUCACUCUUCAUUGCUGUGUACUUUUCCAUUUUGACACCAACAUAUAAUAGAGUCACUUUAAGGUUGCUGGUUUUGCCUGGUCUUUGGGUCAGGCGUGAUUCCCGCCUGUGGCUCCUUUCCUGCUCUUCUUUCCCUACUUUCUUCCUUCUUGUCAUCUUUUAACUAAAUACACCUUGUGGGGCACUGAGAGUUGCACAUUAUGGACUUUGUUAAAGCAAUACAAGUCAUCAUUCGUGGACAAACUUUGUCUUAUACACUGGUUCGACUAAUACUUUUGCCUUAGCAUAUUAUGCUAAUUUUAAGCUAGUAAAUUAUGGCAUCAGACUGGUAAAGAAACCACUGUGCCCCAUCAUUACUUAAAGGCUUUAUUUACUGCAUAGUUGCCAUCUGAACUUGUGUUUAAGGCUUCACUGCUUCAACAAGUUUAUUUUUAGUGAGUCCUUUCAUACAUUGACAGAUUUGGAAUAUCUACUUGUAAUUAUCUUGAAACAUACCUAACUUUUUCCUCUUUUAUUAAACUGUUAAUGCUUUGUAUGUUUUCCCAGAUGUACUUAAAGUCACAAAGUUCCUCUGAGAACUGUGUGACUCACUGAGAGGUUGUGUUUCUGACUAUAUGACCUUAUUGCCCUGCGUUGGUUUACAGGUCUUACAGCCAAAGUGGACACUUUCCAGCGUGUUGACUGUGUGACAGUGUGUGUGGACUUAUUCCACUACCCCUCAAUGCCAAGCUACGGUAUGUAUGCCCCCUCACAUAUACAGCAGACAUGAGCUUGCUGCAUCUGUACCAGGGAAAAUGUGAUGCAGAUUACUGUUUUGCGGUGAAAUGUCGACAUAUUAUGGGACUUCAAAAACAGCCAGUAAAACGUGGGUAUACAACCGUUUAAGCAUAUGCAGGCACACACUCAUGCGACCUCGACUCAGAGGGAAAAAUACAACUUUUUGUUAGUCUUGGAGGCUCAAGCACCAGUGUCACCACAUCCCGUACGGCAAGAAGAAGUCAUUUGACUAUUUAAAACACCCCCAUUUUAACAAUAAAAGGAGCAUUCAGCUGCCCUUGCUUUUUUAUAUUCUUGUUAAACAAGUAAGGAGCUGCUUUUUUCAUGGAGCCACCAAGUGCAUGAGGUGACUACACAAAGUGACGUAAAGAAAAGAACAAUGAAUUGUGUGUAUCUGUUGUUACUGAGCUGCUGAAGGACUAAAUGGUUGAGUUAGUGUCCCCAAACAAAAACCUGAAGCAAUGAGACCCCUACUUCCUCACUUUGCCGUGGAUAUGCUUUUGUCUUUCUGAAAGACACGUGAACAGAGGAGAUGGGUAUCGUAUAUCUUCUGAGAUUAUGACUGAGGGUGUGACUGUCUUUCCUCUGUCAAAGAAAGAC